rnacentral:rRNA from 1 species
UACGUAGGUGCAAGCGUUGUCCGGAUUUAUUGGGUUUAAAGGGUGCGUAGGUGGCUAUCUAAGUCAGUGGUGAAAUAUCUCAGCUUAACUGAGAGGGUGCCAUUGAUACUGGAUAGCUUGAGUACAGAUGAGGUAGGCGGAAUUGACGGUGUAGCGGUGAAAUGCAUAGAUAUCGUCAAGAACACCGAUAGCGAAGGCAGCUUACCAAGCUGUAACUGACACUGAGGCACGAAAGUGUGGGGAUCAAACAGG